CCCAUUUGUUGCUGAAUAGGGAGUUGUUGUUGUUUUUUUUCAAAGUUUGAUCAUAUUGAAACGUGUUGUGCGUCCAACUUUCAUGGAAUUGUAGAAAGCAUCCCCGCGGGUUCCCGGCAGCAAAGCCUUCACAUACUGUAUGAAGCGGAUCGGAUUUUAGAGACAUGCAAAGGGGACAAGGACCACUCACAGCUCAACAGAUAUUCCCGUGCUUUAUGGUUGUUUUUACGGGAGACCCACAGGUCGGAAUGGUUGAAGGGCACACUGGGGGAACAUGGUAGUCAGCGACAAUGGAAACCUUUCAACUGUAUGUUCAAGAGUAUCUUUGGGGACCGACAAACACUAGUCAGUGUAUCCAUCAGUGUGCAUUUAUCAUUAGAGCCUUCAGUUGACCUGCCUUGUCUCAUCUGUUCAACAGUUUCCUUGCAAACGACCACCGGGUCAAAGACGUCCUUACACUGGAUUAAUUGGGCCUUGCAAUAUUGAAUCCUGCGUCGUCUCCUGCCGUACAUCCAUUGAGUCAUAUCUUGGUCAGGUUUUUUUAACAUGUACGGCACCUUUUGCAACUCACUAAUCAUACUUCAAACAAUAUGAAUGAAAGAAAUGACACACAGAUCAUUCACAGUUGUCGGAGCUUUGAAACGUGCUGUUUAAAGAUAGCAUUUAUUGUGGGGUUAUUGUUGUGACAAAACACCUACCUACUAUUUCCUGUAAAUCAUCAUGUACAAUAUCAAAUCAUAGUAUCGUAUGUUUGUUUAUGUUUGAUAUUUAUUGCAAGAGGGGCCAUUUGAUCUAAUCUCUCGUCCAUUUACAGUCUAUAAGUACAUACGCUGGAAAUGAUUGUACUGAACGUUUUUGGCCACAGACAUAUUUGUUGAACAAAGAAAAACAAGGAUUUUAGAUGAGAAUCCACAAAGAUAUUGCACGAUGAUAAGAUUGUGCAGUUCAACACCACACAGGAAGUGGACGCAGUAUUGUGAGACGUUCAUGAGUUGGUUUGUAUCAGUUUAGACCAACAUCAACAGCACAUUCAGGCU
ensembl:lncRNA